GACGAACCGUGCGAACGUUGUUCGGAAUCACUGGGCGUAAAGGGUGCGUAGGCGGGUCUUUUAAGUCAGGGGUGAAAUCCUGGAGCUCAACUCCAGAACUGCCUUUGAUACUGAAGAUCUUGAGUCCGGGAGAGGUGAGUGGAACUGCGAGUGUAGAGGUGAAAUUCGUAGAUAUUCGCAAGAACACCAGUGGCGAAGGCGGCUCACUGGCCCGGUACUGACGCUGAGGCACGAAAGCGUGGGGAGCAAACAGG
rnacentral:rRNA from 1 species